AUGCUUACCAGGAAAUCCUUCCCUCUGGAUUCCACAGCAUGUUUCUUAUGCAAUGAUGAUGAGAUGGAGGACAAAACACAUUUAUUAUUUUCAUGCUCUUUCAUCCAAAAUUUCUGGUGGAAUAUUGGUUUUGAAUGGAACACUGAUUUGACCAUUCAUGACAUGAUCUCUAAUGGCAAACUAAGAUAUAAUCUACCUUUCUUCAUGGAUAUUGUGACUGUGGGAUGCUGGAGUAUAUGGAAUCAGAGAAAUGAUUUGAUAUUUGAAGACAUACCAUGUUCCAUAUUCUCAUGCAAGUUUGACUUCAUCAAAACUUUCAAGCUCACCAUGCUGAGAGCCAAGCCUAGCCUCAAGGAUGGCAUGUCAUCCUGGAUAGACAACAUUUGA
rnacentral:rRNA from 1 species